GAUAUUCUAGGUGCCUUAAAAACCUUCCUAGAAUAUUAAUAGGAACCCCGAACCCUCUUUAAGUAUUUUCAAUUGAUUUCCUGUUUUAAUCUAUUGAAAAUCAGUUUUCUUGAUUUUUCUUAAAAAAUUAAGUGGCGACUCUUAAACCAAGUCUGUUUGCAUGUGAAAUUUGUCCGGGUCCUCAUGGACUCUAUCCUCGCAUUUUCCUUUGGGCCACGGAGGCCCAUAUCCCCUCUUAUCCGAGUCAGCUAGAUAUCAAAAUCGACGAACAGGUCUCAAAAUUGAAAGAAAAGCGGAGCAAAUUGGGAGUUGAAAAAGAUUGGGCCAAAGCCUACCUUUAUUUAUUCGGAAUUGUAUUUUGUUAUUAUUGGGCCUAAGCCCUCGCCAUUUUACUUAUUAUUACUUGUUAGUUCUUAGGACAGGUGAAAAUUGGACCAAAGGCCCAAAACGAAAAUGGGUCCAAGUACUGGUUCAGGCGGAC
rnacentral:lncRNA from 1 species